AGAAAAGCUCGUUACAAAAAUUUAGAAUCAAAGUAAUGAACGGAACUAAUUAACAAUCCUAUGUAACAUUCUAUUGUUUAUAUUUACCCUUCCUAAAACUGAAUAAUAAAAAAUAAUCACUAAAAAAAAAUGAUCAUAAAAAAAAUAGAGUAAAGAAGAAGAUUUAGAAUCGAAGAGGAAAUAGGAUAGAAUUAUUAAGAUAAACUCUCCA
rnacentral:lncRNA from 1 species